UAAUUAGGCGGAGGAAAAGAAACUAACCAGGAUUCCCCCAGUAAGGGCGACUGAAGCGGGAAGAGCUCGCAGUGUGAAUCGGUUCGCCGAAUUGUGGUCUGUUUGCAUUAACGGCCGGGCCAAGUCCCUUGGAACAAGGCAGCCGAGAGGGUGAGACUCCCGUCCGCCCGGCCAUGUGAGCAAACAAAUACGAGUCGAGUUGUUUGGGAUUGCAGCUCGAAGUUGGUGGUAAAUUCCAUCUAAGGCUAAAUAUUGGUGGGAGACCGAUAGCGUACAAGUACCGUGAGGGAAAGAUGCAAAGAACUUUGAAAAGAGAGUUAAAGAGUACCUGAAAUUGCUGAAAAGGAAGCGAAGGAAAGCAGUGCCCGCUUGGCUAUACUUCCCCAUCCGCUUGCGGGUGGGGCGCUGUGGCCGGCCGGAGUCGGUCUUGAUUUAUUCUGCCGGAAAGGCGUUGCGGGGAGUUGACCUGUGACGGUGGCGGCGGGAGAAAUCGAGGCGGACGAAAUGGUUUUCUUCUCCCCG
rnacentral:rRNA from 1 species